rnacentral:misc_RNA from 1 species
AACCUUAUGGACCUGCGGGCGUAUACCUGCGGAAGGAUCAUUACCGAGUUUACAACUCCCAAACCCCUGUGAACAUACCACUUGUUGCCUCGGCGGAUCAGCCCGCUCCCGGUAAAACGGGACGGCCCGCCAGAGGACCCCUAAACUCUGUUUCUAUACGUAACUUCUGAGUAAAACCAUAAAUAAAUCAAAACUUUCAACAACGGAUCU